rnacentral:rRNA from 1 species
CACGUAGGGCGCAAGCGUUGUCCGGAAUUAUUGGGCGUAAAGAGCUCGUAGGUGGCCUGUUGCGUCCGCUGUGAAAGCCCGGGGCUUAACCCCGGGUCUGCAGUGGAUACGGGCAGGCUAGAGGUAGGUAGGGGAGAAUGGAAUUCCCGGUGUAGCGGUGAAGUGCGCAGAUAUCGGGAGGAACACCGGUGGCGAAGGCGGUUCUCUGGGCCUGUUCUGACGCUGAGGAGCGAAAGCGUGGGGAGCGAACAGG